UUUGUUCAGUUCUUUCUGUAUUAAAGCAGAAAUAACUUUAUAAAGCUGCAGCAAUAUGAUUGCCUUUUUUUAAAAACAUUUCAUAGCUUUGACUUUUUUUGAUUAAUUCUGCUAGAAUGUACAUCCAUCCUUCGGUCUUCUUUAUAUCUUUUCUUGGAGAACCUAGCUAUUGGAGCAGUUUCGUGACAGGCUUAAAAUUCCCCAGUACCAUAUACACAGUUACACAAGUCUCUGCACCUGGGUGUCAUUCGGUGGUAAUCACCGUGCUAAUGUGUUGCUUCUUUCAGAGCUCUCUGAUAAAGGGCUAAUUAUCCUUGCCAGCUCCAUACACAGUUGUGUGUUUCUAGAGAGGACAGUUGCUCCUCAUCAUGACUGCCUAAUUAGGCUGAUUGGUUCACAGCACCAAGCCAACCUGAUUGAGAAACAUGUUUGGCUCAGUGUCCUGAUUUCUAACUGUUUUUGCCUUGCAUUAAAUGAACCUUUACUGACGUCCCUCACAAGCUGCUUUUCUGGACAGAAUUGAGGCUGAAUGCCUAAGAAAGAUGCUUAAAUAUAUCAGAGGAACAUCUGCACCAGAAGAAGGAGUCUUUUGGAUGCUCUGAUUGCGCGGACUACAGACAGUGCUCAAGAAGAACAGCUGGAGUCCCAGCACAGAGGAGAGCUCUGCAUCAUACCCUGUCACCUUCAUGUGUGUGGCCCAGAGACAGGAGGGAGGAUGAAACAUAGCAUCUAUGCACUCAGUUUUGCACCACCCAACAAGAGAGUGCUUGAUGGUGACUCCAGGCAGCAUUCAAGUGCCUUUACACAGUGCAACAACUUCAGCUGGGGGCUGAGAAUCCAUUCUCAUAUUUUAUUCAUCCAAAUUUCCCUUCCCUACUCCAGAAAUCUACACUCAUCUCUUCACUAGAGAAUCUGUUCAAUUUCCUCUUGUUUAGCACUGUGCUGCAGUGCUCAUAUUUCCGCUGAGUACCUUCACUUAGAGACUGAUCGGCACUAAUCACAAGUCCAACUUCUCAAGAGUGAAGCGUGGGAGAGAGCAGGAGAUGUAGGCUCAUCUAAUUUGAUCAGUCUGUUUUGUUAUACUGAAUAUUUUAUUUUCAAUAGUCAGCUUUUGUGGAAGGAAAUAAAAAUGUAAGAAAUCCA